UACGUAGGGUGCGAGCGUUAAUCGGAAUUACUGGGCGUAAAGUGUGCGCAGGCGGCCGAGCAAGUCGAGUGUGAAAGCCCCGGGCUUAACUUGGGAAUUGCGCUCGAAACUACUUGGCUGGAGUGUGGCAGAGGAAGGUGGAAUUCCAGGUGUAGCGGUGAAAUGCGCGGAUAUCAGGAAGAACACCGAUGGCGAAGGCAGCUCUCUGGGACGGUACUGACGCUGAGACGCGAAAGCGUGGGGAGCGAACAGG
rnacentral:rRNA from 1 species